UAACCUACAGGACAUCAUCAUUAUUCCAUUGUGUUAAUUCAGUUCAAUGUAAGACAAAGGAACAGUCUAAUACAGUGACUCUCAAACUGUGUAUUAUUUAAAUGUAAAAUAUUACAUGAAAUAAAUCAUUUUAAAUCAUAAUACAGUGAAAGUAAUGACUGAAAUUCAGAUUAAAACAACUCUUAAUAUUGCAGAAAUAUAGUAGAGAGAUAUUCUGUCAUUGUAAGUCGCUACGCAGUCACAUUCAUACGUCACCCCGACUUGUUAUGAAUGAAACUGUGACGGGAAAAUAGUAAGAGAGUUUAAUUUGGUUUGAGAUAGAGAGCGCUUUGGUCGAGAGACAUAGACAGUGAAUGAGAGCGAGCGAGCGAGCGAGCGCCAGCCUCAAUAAAGCCGGUUAAUCAGACAAAUAAAAAGUGAGUGCCUGAUUAUUUCACGGCAGUUACUGUUCACGACAAAUAAACGACGAUCUCGGCCCCAGCCAUGUAUUUUAAUAUCGCGGUCAAGAUGGCAAAAUGGAUAUUUUCUGAGGAGGCUUGAAAAUUGACUUUAAAGGUUAAUUUAUGAUCAAAAAAGUUGUCUCUGGCUGACCAGUCAGUGAUUUUAGAAUAACUUUUUGUCAUGUCUCUUAUUCCUACUUGUGUUUCUUUGUUUAUAUACAUAUAAAGAGUGUGUGUGUGUGUGUGUGUGUGUGUGUGCGUGUGCGCGCCUCAUGUCCCAGUUCAGCCCAGUGCUUCAUACUGGGUGUUUGCGGUGGCUGAGGAGGCAGAGCAGAGCAGCGGUGUUACCCAUUCCACCCUCAGCUGCAGCAUAGCUCCGAGGUGGAAGAGAUCCCUGCUACAAACUCAAAACCAGCAGCCAACACUCAAACACAAAUGCAGAUGUGUGUGUUUGUGUGUAACAUUUAUGACCUGUGUGUAAAGAGUGUACGGAGCAUGAAGGACGUUAAUCAUUAACUCGUGGUGGUCUCGAUAAGGCGGAUGGUGAGUGCUGACACUUUGUUUUCUCCUCGCUUCACUCUAUUGUCUGAUCACAUCCUGCAGGAUCCAGCGUGACAGGAAGACGGGAGUUGAGUCGAGGGUCAUCGAUCCGGUUUCAGUUCCUGUAAAAGACUUGUUGUUCAUUUCUGUGAAUUUAUUUGUGUAAAACCAAAGUCAAAACCUUCAAACCUGCUUUUAUUAACGUAGUAACAAGAUGUUUUUUAGGUGAGUUCACAAGAAAAGUGAAGACUUCGGUAUAAUUUACACUUUUACUGCAUUACAUGUGUCCCCUGAGCAAAUACUUGGAUACUUUACUUGUAAUCUUGGAGUGAGUCUGAAUUUGAUGCACAUUGUAUUUAUUCAUUCAAUAAAGUCAGUUUAUCACUCUGA